rnacentral:rRNA from 1 species
CCUACGGGCGGCAGCAGUGGGGGAUAUUGGACAAUGGGGGAAACCCUGAUCCAGCGACGCCGCGUGAGUGAAGAAGUAUUUCGGUAUGUAAAGCUCUGUCAGCAGGGAAGAAAGAAAUGACGGUACCUGACCAAGAAGCCCCGGCUAACUACGUGCCAGCAGCCGCGGUAAUACGUAGGGGGCAAGCGUUAUCCGGAAUUACUGGGUGUAAAGGGAGCGUAGACGGCAGCGCAAGUCUGGAGUGAAAGGCCGGGGCCCAACCCCGGAACUGCUCUGGAAACUGUGAAGCUGGAGUGCAGGAGAGGUAAGCGGAAUUCCUGGUGUAGCGGUGAAAUGCGUAGAUAUCAGGAGGAACACCGGCGGCGAAGGCGGCUUACUGGACUGUAACUGACGUUGAGGCUCGAAGGCGUGGGGAGCAAACAGGAUUAGAUACCCCAGUAGUC